AGUUGUUGUGGGGAUCUGGCUUUGGGCUACCUGUGAAUGCAUGGCGCGAGUACUGGGCCCAGUGGGUGGAAACGAGGCAAAAUUCAGAAGAGAACUCAGUUGGAUCAAUCUUUGUGAGCUUUAUAGCGGGUUUCAGCUGAGUUUUUGCGAAAAUUUCUCUACAACAGCUAUAGAAACUGGCCUUUACCCAUGCCCAAGUAGAAUUCAAGUCGAAAUGAAAUAAAAUAACACCAAGCGUCUUUUGCCACAGAGGAGAGAGAAGCAAAGCCAGGAUGCAACAUGAUGAUGGGUUAUCCAGCUGGUGCUUUGAAGACCUUGGGGUCUUUUUAUCAACAACUAGAUGUAAGGCAUGAAGGGACAUGUUUCCUUCCAUUGUAGACUCUGGGAUUGUCAGUAAGCAAAGCACCAGGAGACAUUAUAGAAACCUGAGUAGUAAUAUAUAAAAUUUCAUGGCAUUUCAUACAGCCCUUCUUGCAAUGCAUCUACAGUAAACACUCGCAAUAAGAACCUACUUUUUUCUGAGUUACUAUAGCCUAAACAUGUUCUUAUAUGAGAGGUGCUCAGUGAUAUUUUAGGCUAUUUACUAUAGACUAUAGGCAUUUAUUAAUUUAGUAAUGCUCAUUUAGUUAUUUUUUAUCGAAUGUUUUUAGAGAUUAUUGUUACUAGAAAUGAGGGGGUUAUUAGGUAUUAUUUUACGUUCCAAUUGUUUAUGCGAGUUAUAAUAGUUUAUAAUAGUUUAAAUACUUAUUUAUUUGAGAGCGAUUACAAGUUGUUAUUUAAUAUUAACGAUUAUAAUGACAUGCUGACUAUUCAAAGUAUAUAGGAUUUUAAGCAGGGAACGUUUACAAGAGACUAUUUAUGUGUUAUGUUGUAAAAUUACGAUGUAAAAAUUUUAAAAUUACGAUCUGACAUGUUAAAUAAAUUUGAAUUUUAUUAA